AUCGUGGAGAUUAAAACUUACAAAAUCAAAGAUAUUUGCGAUAUUAAACGCGGUAGAGUUAUCAGCAAAUUGGACAUUAAAAAAGAUCCAGGAGUUUUUCCUGUUUAUUCGGCAGCUACUAAUAACGAUGGGGAGUUUGGUCGAAUAAAUUCUUAUGACUUUGAUGGUGAAUAUGUUACUUGAACAGCUGACGGUUAUGGAGGGGCUGUUUUUUAUCGUAAUGGUAAAUUUAGCAUCACAAAUCUUUGUGGUCUUUUGAAAGUAAAAAAUAAAGAAAUUA
rnacentral:sRNA from 1 species